GUGCAGCAGGCGAGAAUUUUUCUCAAUGGGGGAAACCCUGAAGGAGCGACGCCGCGUGGAGGAUGAAGGCUUUCGGGUUGUAAACUCCUGUCAUUUGAGAACAAGUGGCCGAACGUAACUGCUUCGGCCUUGAUAGUAUCAGAAGAGGAAGGGACGGCUAACUCUGUGCCAGCAGCCGCGGUAAUACAGAGGUCUCAAGCGUUGUUCGGAUUCAUUGGGCGUAAAGGGUGCGUAGGUGGCGCCGUAAGUCGGGUGUGGAAAUUUCGGAGCUUAACUCCGAAACUGCAUUCGAUACUGCGGUGCUUGAGGACUGGAGAGGAGACUGGAAUUUACGGUGUAGCAGUGAAAUGCGUAGAGAUCGUAAGGAAGACCAGUGGCGAAGGCGGGUCUCUGGACAGUUCCUGACACUGAGGCACGAAGGCCAGGGAGCAAACGGGAUUAGAUACCCUGUAGU
rnacentral:rRNA from 1 species